rnacentral:rRNA from 1 species
UUACGAACGCUGGCGGCGUGCCUAAUACAUGCAAGUAGAACGCUGAAGAGAGGAGCUUGCUCUUCUUGGAUGAGUUGCGAACGGGUGAGUAACGCGUAGGUAACCUGCCUUGUAGCGGGGGAUAACUAUUGGAAACGAUAGCUAAUACCGCAUAACAAUGGAUGACACAUGUCAUUUAUUUGAAAGGGGCAAAUGCUCCACUACAAGAUGGACCUGCGUUGUAUUAGCUAGUAGGUGAGGUAACGGCUCACCUAGGCGACGAUACAUAGCCGACCUGAGAGGGUGAUCGGCCACACUGGGACUGAGACACGGCCCAGACUCCUACGGGAGGCAGCAGUAGGGAAUCUUCGGCAAUGGGGGCAACCCUGACCGAGCAACGCCGCGUGAGUGAAGAAGGUUUUCGGAUCGUAAAGCUCUGUUGUAAGUCAAGAACGAGUGUGAGAGUGGAAAGUUCACACUGUGACGGUAGCUUACCAGAAAGGGACGGCUAACUACGUGCCAGCAGCCGCGGUAAUACGUAGGUCCCGAGCGUUGUCCGGAUUUAUUGGGCGUAAAGCGAGCGCAGGCGGUUUGAUAAGUCUGAAGUUAAAGGCUGUGGCUCAACCAUAGUUCGCUUUGGAAACUGUCAAACUUGAGUGCAGAAGGGGAGAGUGGAAUUCCAUGUGUAGCGGUGAAAUGCGUAGAUAUAUGGAGGAACACCGGUGGCGAAAGCGGCUCUCUGGUCUGUAACUGACGCUGAGGCUCGAAAGCGUGGGGAGCGAACAGGAUUAGAUACCCUGGUAGUCCACGCCGUAAACGAUGAGUGCUAGGUGUUGGAUCCUUUCCGGGAUUCAGUGCCGCAGCUAACGCAUUAAGCACUCCGCCUGGGGAGUACGACCGCAAGGUUGAAACUCAAAGGAAUUGACGGGGGCCCGCACAAGCGGUGGAGCAUGUGGUUUAAUUCGAAGCAACGCGAAGAACCUUACCAGGUCUUGACAUCCCGAUGCUAUUUCUAGAGAUAGAAAGUUACUUCGGUACAUCGGUGACAGGUGGUGCAUGGUUGUCGUCAGCUCGUGUCGCGAGAUGUUGGGUUAAGUCCCGCAACGAGCGCAACCCCUAUUGUUAGUUGCCAUCAUUCAGUUGGGCACUCUAGCGAGACUGCCGGUAAUAAACCGGAGGAAGGUGGGGAUGACGUCAAAUCAUCAUGCCCCUUAUGACCUGGGCUACACACGUGCUACAAUGGUUGGUACAACGAGUUGCGAGUCGGUGACGGCAAGCUAAUCUCUUAAAGCCAAUCUCAGUUCGGAUUGUAGGCUGCAACUCGCCUACAUGAAGUCGGAAUCGCUAGUAAUCGCGGAUCAGCACGCCGCGGUGAAUACGUUCCCGGGCCUUGUACACACCGCCCGUCACACCACGAGAGUUUGUAACACCCGAAGUCAAAGAGGUAACCUUUUGGAGCCAGCCGCCUAAG